CUCGUAUCGUGGGGACGAAAAAAGUUUUGGAGGUUGGAAUCAUUUGGAAAUAUUUACCGACGUGUUUUAAUAACGUGUUUUUCCCCCCAUGUGCAAGCACUGCUUGCAACACUUAAAUUAGUUUUUAAAAGACUGGAAUCGUUUAAGUGUACUGUAUUAUUAUUUUUGUUUUCUAAAUUAAAAGUUAAAGAAUAUCAUAAGGACAAGCACACCUAUUCCGUUAGGUUCCAUUCAACUUAUUUAUUUUUGUUUAUCUACUAAAAGUGUGUAAAAUGUGCCAUAAGAGUGACAAAAACAUUGCAACUUUAUUUUAAGUCUAUGUGCUUAAAUUGUUUUGUUUUUUGUUUUCUUAGAACGAUUUUUUUUUUUUUUUUUUUUUGGCCUGCAAUAUGAUUUUGUCAGCGUCAAUUAUUUUGUUCAAAAUUUGACUCAUUCUUGAGUGCUCUUUUUCAUUGUCAAAUCAAAAGCGUUUUGUGCCUUUGCAUAUUUUUCCCCCCUUUACCACACGAAAAGAAGCUGAAAAAUAAACUUUGAGUUAUGUGCUAAAGAAAUUCCUGAAGAAUGCAACUGCGAGCCAUUCGACCCUGAGCCCCAGCCAUUUGACUAACAUCUUCACUAUUCGUCAUAGUUCAUACAAUGUUUACUUAUUUAUGACACGGGUUGUGUGGUUUUGUCACCAGAGGCCUGACAGAUCAAUUCAUGACCUUUCUCAAGGGAAUACCAAUUUAUUUGCAUCAGUAAUUGAAUGCAUCUUGACCUUGAUUAAAAUUAAGCCACCUAAAGUUGAAGAAAUGUCUAAGGUCACGCUUUUGUUAUUUUCAAAGAUUACAUUUGUGGGUUUUAGACUUAGUUUUGUAUUCACGUGUGAUCAUAAUACGUGAACAUAAAAAGAUCACAAUGGCCUUUAGAUAAAGUAAUGGUUCCGUGAAAUGCGCUUUUAAAAAAUCGGGGGAAAAAAAGUUGUUGUGUUACGGCUAUUUCUACGUUUUGCACUGAUAUUCGUCAGCAUAAACAUUAUGUACCUUUAAAUGAAGUUAUGUGGGCUAGGGGUGGGGGUGUCAACUUUUCAUCGAGACACACGAGCACUAAUACAAUCUAAACGCUGUUGUACGUAUAAUCCGCCUAAUUCCAGUGGAGCUUGAACAUAUGAUAUUUGACAUAUCUAAUAUUAACUGUCUGACCUUUUCAGGUCAGUUCACCCAACACCUCCUAUCUGUGUCUGGCCGGUUUGAUUAAGAUAAAGCUUCAAAACAGCGAUCAAGGUGUCGGGUUUCAGACGUCUGAGAGUAACAGUGGAGAUUGACCUCUGGCCACCUGAACGAGGCAAGUUUCAGAACUCUGCUGUGCGAGGAAGCGCCUGCGCACAGAAACACUGACACCCGCCAUGGAACAGAUCAAUUUACAUUUAAGUGACUGUAUGACCUGCUGAAGGUAUCGACACACAACCCGGAAACAAAUGACCCACAGACGGAGAGAGGAACAAAGAAGAGCUAUGCAUGACCUGGGAUCUGCCACAUAGAAUUCAAAUGUAUUUAUUUAUUUAUUUAAGAAUAAGUUUGUUUACGCUCCUGAAAGCGUGCAAAAUAAAGAUCUUAUAUUUGAAAUAGCCUA